AUGUUGCGAGAUAUGGCAUUUACCCUUAGCGGAGGUAUGCGCUCUACUGAGUCAUUAUUAGUCAUUAUUAUUUUUGCAAUCAUUGCCAAGUACUGCUAGACGACCACCUCCCACUAAAUGCAGUACCUAAUUUCAGACUGUAGGGUUGACAUUUACACAUGUCCUCCCGAGUUUAUGGAACCGCCCCCGAAGUAAAACAGUAAGAAAAGUGUUAUGGGACUACACAAACUAUUGCGGGUCAUGUUGUGGUGGAUUGUGAUCGGAGCUAUUCACACUUCCGAUGGGUUGAAGGUGUUUGAAUUCUGCUCUGGGAAGAAGUUUUUCAUCCCAGACCACAUCAUGUCACGUGCCCCUCUCGGCUCUUACAUAUAUUUCACACCCAUCACUCCAGAGGCCAAAACACGGAUGGUGAUGAAUGUGACUCAGUCCCUGGACCCACACUAUAAGUAUAAGCAUGAAACGGUCUUCAUAUCGGAGUUGACAGACAGAGACCAGGGGAUUUUUUCAUGGUCACGUCAUAAUUCCAAAAAAUCUACUGACUUUCUUAAACUUAUAAUGAAAGACUGCACUGAGGAAAUGGAGGUGUACUACGGAAACCAGUUGGAGAUUUUCCCGAUGAAACGUGCUAUGGUGCUGGAGUUCUCUCCCCUUCUGGGGCCAUCAGACACACAGAUACUGUGGAGACCGGGCCAGACUAGCAGGCGGUGGUCUGCAGAUGUCGUCACCUCAGACCAACAGGGCAACUACACCUUACGAGGUCGCCUCGGGGUGGAGCUGCGGAAGAUACGCGUCACUGUGAUUGCUAAAACUAUGGAAGUCAGUGUUGAAGGAGAGGGGAGUCUGAUCAUCCGCUUCCCCAUCCCCACAUCCAAGUCAGUCAUCAGCUUCACAGACCAGUCCGGCAUGGAGCAUGUGCUUUACCAGAUGGGUAUUGAGAGCGUCGAUGUGCUCUAUAGUCUGCAUCUUGACGGUCGGGUCUCACUGCAGGACCACCCCUCAGGUUCUAGUGUCCGGAUCGAAGACUUGAGACCAAGCGAUGCAGGAACCUAUGAGGUCCGAGACUCGCAUGGCCAUCUGGUCGUUAUUGCCACCCUGGAGAGUCAAGGUGAGGUGUAGUCAUUCAUACGUGUACCAGUGAUUUCCAGUGCUGCUGCUGUGACUCCUUCAGAGUCAGGUGUCAAGCUCUCCCAGCCAUUAAAGAGAGGGCCUCAGGGGGCACUGUGGUGCAAACAGUAACCCCGACCACAUUCGGGCUUGACGCCCAUGGAGGACACGGGUUCGAAUCCAGCCCGAUGUCAUUUCUCCUGUCCACUCCCCACCUCUUCUCCCUCUCACUUCCUGUACCACUCUUCACUGAUCUAUCAAUUAAAGGCAUGAAAUAAAAAAUAAAAAAGAGAGGGCCUCA
rnacentral:lncRNA from 1 species